AGUGAACGCUGGCGGCGUGCCUAAUACAUGCAAGUCGAACGAGCGGCGGACGGGUGAGUAAUGUCUGGGAAACUGCCUGAUGGAGGGGGAUAACUACUGGAAACGGUAGCUAAUACCGCAUACCAUCAGAUGUGCCCAGAUGGGAUUAGCUAGUAGGUGGGGUAAUGGCUCACCUAGGCGACGAUCCCUAGCUGGGCUGAGAGGAUGACCAGCAACAGUGGAACUGAGACACGGUCCAGAGUCCUACGGGAGGCAGCAGUGGGGAAUAGUGCACAAUGGGCGCAAGCCUGAUGCAGCCAUGCGGAGUGUGUGAAGAAGGCCUUCGGGUUGUAAAGCACUGUCAGCGAGGAGGCGUUACUCGCAGAAGAAGCACCGGCUAACUCCGUGCCAGCAGCCGCGGUAAUUC
rnacentral:rRNA from 1 species